GACGAACGCUGGCGGCGUGCUUAACACAUGCAAGUCGAACGGAAAGACCCUGCUUUUGUGGGGUGCUCGAGUGGCGAACGGGUGAGUAACACGUGAGUAACCUGCCCUUGACUUUGGGAUAACUUCAGGAAACUGGGGCUAAUACCGGAUAGGAGCUCCUGCUGCAUGGUGGGGGUUGGAAAGUUUCGGCGGUUGGGGAUGGACUCGCGGCUUAUCAGCUUGUUGGUGGGGUAGUGGCUUACCAAGGCUUUGACGGGUAGCCGGCCUGAGAGGGUGACCGGCCACAUUGGGACUGAGAUACGGCCCAGACUCCUACGGGAGGCAGCAGUGGGGAAUAUUGCACAAUGGGCGGAAGCCUGAUGCAGCAACGCCGCGUGCGGGAUGACGGCCUUCGGGUUGUAAACCGCUUUCGCCUGUGACGAAGCGUGAGUGACGGUAAUGGGGAAAGAAGCACCGGCUAACUACGU
rnacentral:rRNA from 1 species